UACGUAGGGCGCAAGCGUUGUCCGGAAUUAUUGGGCCUAAAGCAUCCGUAGCCGGCCUUACAAGUCCUCCGUUAAAUCCAGCUGCUUAACAGAUGGGCUGCGGAGGAUACUAUAAGACUAGGAGGCAGGAGAGGCAAGCGGUACUCAGUGGGUAGGGGUAAAAUCCGUUGAUCCAUUGAAGACCACCAGUGGCGAAGGCGGCUUGCCAGAAUGCGCUCGACGGUGAGGGAUGAAAGCUGGGGGAGCAAACCGG
rnacentral:rRNA from 1 species